CCUCCCAGUAGCGCUGUAGCCACUUCCAGCUCAAUAACCAAGGGGCAAAGUAGCUGCAUAUGUCCAAAGGUUAAAAACGGACAAUUCUCCGUUCCCACCGGAAGCCUGAUCAGUCCCUCAGAAAUUGCCAUUCCUAACGUGUGACGAAGGCUACCGUGCCACACGAAGAAAGUUCACCUGUGCAGAUGAUACCACUCCUCGCUGUAUCCGGAGGGUUAACAACGCGCUGUGUAGUUGUCUGAAUAGACUGGGACGCUGCAUCAAGGGGAGACAAACUGUGGUGAAAGAGUGUUCCUCCUAUUUGGUGAAGUGCUUUACCUGGUCCUCCACACAACACUGUAGCAAUGAAGUGAGAUACAGAACCAACUAUCAGGUUAACAACGGUAACUAUAACAACGGUUAUAAUAACCCUUGGAAUGCGGGGAACGGCUGGGGAAUCUGAAAUAUUCAAUAUAAAUUUGGAAGGACUUUCUUUAAUUAUGUUAUUGCAGGAUGAACUGUUUUGCUGUCUGAUCAUUUCAUUGUGGCAAUAGAUUUUAUAAGUCAAUCAAUUCAUAAUGAUAAGUGUGUAUAACAGUUUUUCAGCCAUGGAGAAAAUGCCCUGGUAUUUGUUGAGGUAAAUUCAUGCUUAAAAUAUUUUGUCCAAUGUUCAAUGUUGGGAAAUAAUUUCAUAUAUUGAUCUUUUACGAUAUAUAAUUAUUAAUUAUGAUACAUUAGAUGUGUCAAAUGCAUUUCUAAGGUUCAUCGAUAAAUUAUGAUCUAUUUGAAAAAACAACUAUCUACGAUUUCACAUAGUAA